rnacentral:rRNA from 1 species
UACGUAGGGUGCGAGCGUUAAUCGGAAUUACUGGGCGUAAAGCGUGCGCAGGCGGUUUUGUGAGCCAGGUGUGAAAUCCCCGGGCUCAACCUGGGAAUGGCAUUUGGGACUGCAAGGCUGGAGUGCGGCAGAGGAGACUGGAAUUCCUGGUGUAGCAGUGAAAUGCGUAGAUAUCAGGAGGAACACCGAUGGCGAAGGCAGGUCUCUGGGCUGACACUGACGCUCAUGCACGAAAGCGUGGGGAGCAAACAGG